CUGCAGCCAAUUAAGCCGACUGUGCUCUUUCCCCAUGGGGGCCCAGUGUGCAAUGGCUGCCAACAGUAGCCUCCUUGGUAGUGUAUGCAGCCUAUAAAUGGGUUGCCCUGAGAGACCUUCCAGACAGCC